UACGUAGGUGACCAGCGUUGUCCGGAUUUACUGGGCGUAAAGAGCGCGCAGGCGGUCGUUCAAGUCGAGUGUGAAAGCCCCCGGCUCAACUGGGGAGGGUCAUUCGAUACUGAUCGACUUGAAGGCAGGAGAGGGAAGCGGAAUUCCCGGUGUAGCGGUGAAAUGCGCAGAUAUCAGGAGGAACACCAGUGGCGAAGGCGGUGCUCUGGGCCGGUACUGACGCUGAGGAGCGAAAGCGUGGGGAGCGAACAGG
rnacentral:rRNA from 1 species